rnacentral:rRNA from 1 species
GACAGAGGGUGCAAACGUUGUUCGGAAUUACUGGGCGUAAAGCGCGUGUAGGCGGCCUUGCAAGUCGGAUGUGAAAGCCCUCGGCUCAACCGAGGAAGCGCACCCGAAACUGCUUGGCUAGAGUCCUGGAGAGGAAGGUGGAACGCUUGGUGUAGAGGUGAAAUUCGUAGAUAUCAAGCAGAACACCGGUGGCGAAGGCGGCCUUCUGGACAGUGACUGACGCUGAGACGCGAAAGCGUGGGGAG